AUUGAACGCUGGCGGCAGGCCUAACACAUGCAAGUCGAGCGGAGCGGCGGACGGGUGAGUAAUGCCUAGGAAUCUGCCUGGUAGUGGGGAAUACGGUCGGGAAAGGGGCCCUAAUACCGCAUCCUUUCAGUGGAGCCUGGGUGGGUUUAGCUGGUGGGUGGGGUAAAGGCCUACCAAGGCGACGAUCCGUAACUGGUCUGAGAGGAUGAUCAGUCACACUGGAACUGGGACACGGUCCAGACUCCUACGGGAGGCAGCAGUGGGGAAUAUUGGACAAUGGGCGAAAGCCUGAUCCAGCCAUGCCGCGUGUGUGAAGAAGGUCUUCGGAUUGUAAAGCACUUUAAGUUGGGAGGCGUUACCAACAGAAUAAGCACCGGCUAACUUCGUGCCAGCAGCCGCGGUAAUAC
rnacentral:rRNA from 1 species